GACGAACGCUGGCGGCGUGCUUAACACAUGCAAGUCGAACGGAAAGGCCCCUUUGGGGGUACUCGAGUGGCGAACGGGUGAGUAACACGUGAGUAACCUGCCCUUGACUUCGGGAUAACUUCAGGAAACUGGGGCUAAUACCGGAUAGGAAUCCUUUCUGCAUUGUGGGGGUUGGAAAGCUUCGGCGGUUUUGGGUGGACGCGCGGCUUAUCAGCUGGGUGGUUGGGUAGUGGUUUACCAAGGCUUUGACGGGUAGCCGGACUGAGAGGGCGACCGGCCACAUUGGGACUGAGAUACGGCCCAGACUCCGACGGGAGGCAGAGGUGGGGAAUAUGGCACAAUGGGCGGAAGCCUGAUGCAGAAACGCCGAGGGCGGGAUGACGGCCUUCGGGUUGUAAACCGCUUUCAGCAGGGGCGAAGCUUGUGGUGACGGUACCUGCAGAAGAAGCACCGGCUAACUACGUG
rnacentral:rRNA from 1 species